GAACGCUGGCGGCGUGCUUAACACAUGCAAGUCGAGCGGUAAGGCCCUUCGGGGUACACGAGCGGCGAACGGGUGAGUAACACGUGGGUGAUCUGCCUCGCACUCUGGGAUAAGCCUGGGAAACUGGGUCUAAUACCGGAUAUGACCACGGGAUGCAUGUUCUGUGGUGGAAAGGUUUACUGGUGCGAGAUGGGCCCGCGGCCUAUCAGCUUGUUGGUGGGGUAACGGCCCACCAAGGCGACGACGGGUAGCCGGCCUGAGAGGGCGAACGGCCACACUGGGACUGAGACACGGCCCAGACUCCUACGGGAGGCAGCAGUGGGGAAUAUUGCACAAUGGGCGAAAGCCUGAUGCAGCGACGCCGCGUGAGGGACGACGGCCUUCGGGUUGUAAACCUCUUUCGACAGGGACGAAGCGAAAGUGACGGUACCUGUAUAAGAAGCACCGGCCAACUACGUGCCAGCAGCCGCGGUAAUACGUAGGGUGCGAGCGUUGUCCGGAAUUACUGGGCGUAAAGAGCUUGUAGGCGG
rnacentral:rRNA from 1 species